rnacentral:lncRNA from 1 species
CUGCCUGUGCGCAGCUGCGGGCCUUUGGCCUUGUAUCCCUCUCCCACUUACCCCUUCGUGGCUUAGACUAUAAAUAGACCACCUCCACCUGCUUUCUAGGGUUAGUAAAUAGGAUAGCUCAUUCUUAGGUGAGCUUUGCUCCUAUCUCUACUCUUGAGAGAGAGAGAUUACCACUCCCAUGGAGUUCAAGACCUCCAUGUGAGAAGAUCCUGCGGGAUAUCAUCAAGACCCCCUUGUGGGAAGAUCCAUCUAGGAUAUCAUCAAGACCUCCUCUUGGAGAUGAACCUUACCUUGUAUAUUUCUCUUUGUUGUUCGUGUACCUUGCGAUCUUGUGUGUUUGAUUGUCUAGUGGAUGUGUGAUUUGGGCUUGUUCUUGAGUGUUUCCCCUUGUGAUUUCUCCCCGUUCUUCCCCGUGUUCAUCGUGUUCUUCGAGGGAUCCCACUCCAAACGUGAAAGAUCGGCCUACACUGGGGUAGCCCCGUAUCAUAUGGUAUCAGAGCCACGUUUAUCACGUAUUUGGAGUCCCUCCCACUGUUUUCUAGCCUUCUUUUGCUUGAUUUCGUCCUAAAAUUCGAAAAUCCCCACCAAAAAUAGCCCCAAAUUUUUUUGUGAUUUGUUGGUUUGAUGAUGUUUUGUUGAUUUUGAUCCAUGGAUUUGCUUGGUUUCAAGUGGAUCUAGCAUUUCCCCAAGUUUCCCCAUCUUUCAUUCACGAAAUCCCGUGAAUUUUGACCCCGAAAUCUCCAUUUUCCGCCCAAAAUCGCGUCCCGGAGCUCAAAUCCCGCGUUGACCCCGACCCACCGGACGACCGCCACUUUAUCGGACGUCCGGAGCCCCAGGAACCACCGGACAUCCGCUACUUACCAGACGUCCGGCAUCCCAUUCCAGAAUGAAAUUAGCGGAUUUUCGAGCUCAUCGGACGUCCGGCCACCGGACAUCCGUCUAUUUUCGGACGUCCGCUACCUGUAGUUUCAGACUUCGGUUGAUUUUUGUUUUGUCCAUAACUAAUUCAUCCGAACUCCGAUUUUGACGUUCUUUAGCUCGCUUUGAAGCUAUUGACAUCCCCCAUCCCACAAAAAUACCACCAACACCAUUUGACUCCAUCAAAUUUUCGAAAAUUUGGCAAGUUUGCCCAGGUCUUCCACCAUAUCAUCCGCAUAGCCACCACCGACUUCCGCAACCUAACCCAUUUUGUUCCAUAUAGCAUUAGUGGUUGCUUGAGUAGUGAUUCGUGUCUCCUAAGGUGUUUCGGCUAUUUAGGGACAAUUGCUUCUUCAUCAACCACCACCACCACUUCCGCAUUGCCAAGUGCAAACCUCCACCGCUUUCCACUACUACCAUUUGACAUUUGCCUUUGAGAUUUUGAGUUUGCGGUUUUUCCGUUUCCUAAGGUGUUUCGGCUACUUAGGGACGAGUCUCCAUCAUCUUGGUAUCUACACCAAGAACACCGCCACUCAUCAUCGCAAAGGACGGUAACCUCGACGACACCAUUGUAUAUUCCCUUGCAAUUGCAUUGUUAACCUCUAGCCCAUUUUGCGUCACUUGCCUAUCGAGACUAGCCAUUUGAGUAUUGCCGGGCCACGUUACUUGUGCACAUUAGUGAUCUACACCAUCCAUUGCAUACAUACCAUAUCAUAUUGAUAUCAUAUCUUGUGUCACAAGUUUGUUCCCGCAUAUACACAAUUGCUAUCUUGGUUUGUGCAUUGUGCAAAAGUGGCCAUACAAAAAAAAAGAGAGAAUAAAGCUUUUAAGCAAAGAAAAAGAGUGAGCAAAGAGCUUGUAAGCAAUAGACAUAGCAUCAAAAUAUAUCAUAUGGUAUCAUAUUUGAUCAUCUUGGAUCAUCUUGUGAGAAACACCGGGAACCAUACAUACAUAGCAUACUUGGGAUAGAAAGUUUAUCCAUUUUGCAUCUUAUAGGUUGUGCACAAGUGUCGUAUCCGCCUAUUGAGCAAUCGUGCUAACGUCUCUCUUGAGUCGUGCAACACGAGCGUUUUCCGUGGAUUCCACAUUUUGUGCUCAUUCCUUGGUUGCACGACCCCAUUUAUCUAUCCGUGUGUGUGUUUCCGUGUGCCACAUAUUGCUGUUGGUCUACUUGUUUCGCUUGCGAAUUUGUGAAUCUCUUUCAAUAUUAUUGACUCUUGCUAACAUUUUGCAUCAAAUUUUUUGUGCCACUAUCCUCACCGAGCUCUACCAUAAGCUUUACUUGAUAGGUGUGAGUGAACAAGUCCGGUACCAAUUCCACUAUUCUUUCAUCUCACAUUGAGUGAAACGGGAUACAUCCUCAACUUUGGGAAAAGGUAACUUGGUAUUGUUUAUCUCAUUUCCUACUCACCUCUACUCGAGUCUUGUGAUGGAUAGGCAACGCAUUUCACCUUCGGUCUACAACAACAAUGACGAGUUCGAUGCCACGAACAACAACUCCGACGCCAAGAUGCAAGCUCAAAUGGAGGAGAUCAAAGCCCUCAUCAAGUCCUACAAGCGAUCAUCCUCAUCUUCGAGAAGACGCUCAAGAGCACAUGCUUCCGAGCUACCAUCUCCGGCAACAUCACAUCAGCAUCGACACCAUCACCAACAAGAACAUGAAGGUCAAGAGCUCAACACCAACAACCGCUCAACGACUUCACCAUCUCCCUUGGCAUCUUCGCCAAGCGACUUCAAGGCAUCUUCGCCUACAGACAUACGGCAUCUUCACCAACAAGCACCCCAAGACUACGAUCAAGAGAAGCUCCCCAAGCUCAAGUCCGCGACUUCCACGAGCUACUACGACCUCGACAUCGACCACGCGAUUCCUUUCUAUGGGACUCACGAACUCGAGGAGUACCUCGAGUGGGAGCGUUUGAUGGACGACUACCUCAAGCUACAUCAAGUUCCUCCCGAAGAUCAAGUGAAGCGUGCCACAAGAAACUUCCACGACUACGCCAUGACAUGGUGGCUUCACACACCUUCGGAGUACUACGACAUGAGUUGGCCCAAGACGAAGAGAGCUUUGCGGCGAGAGUUUGUGCCUCCAACCUACACGGAACAACUUCGACGCCAAUUGGAGAACACCACCCAAGGAUCCAAGUCCAUCGACAAGUACUUCAAGGAGAUGAAGAUUGCCUUGCGACGAGCCGGCGUGGACGACCCCAUGUCAAUGAAGUUCCACUUCAUGAUGGGAUUGCACAACGACAUCUCCAAGACCAUCUUCCUCGAGAACUACAAGUCCAUCGACGACUACUACAUUGGUGCUCUCAAGGCGGAACAAGAACUCAUGAAGGCCAAGGCUUCUCCACCCCAAGCACACUUCGCGGUGACCAAGCUCUAUGACAAGCAUGAGGCUAGUACCACCAUGAUGUCCAAGCCCGACGAGCUCCACAACGAUGCUCCCAAGUUCGACUUCACCGCCAUCCCUCUUUGUGGCAUUGAUGGUGCCGAGUCUACUUUGACUCUUUUUCAAGACGGUGCGGCGACGAGUACGACUACGGAGACCUUCAAGGACCAAGCUUUGGAGGCGAGUGACAAGGUGGCGAGCAAGGAUGAUGCUUCCAUCUUUGGAGGCGAGAGUGAUGAUGUGCCAUCUUCGACCUUCAUCAACGGCGACGGUGACGAGAUGAUCGAGCAUGGGAUUUUCCCUUCGGUCAUGGAGGAGAGUGAUGAUGUGCCAUCUUCGGCCUUCAUCCACGGUGAUGACAACGAGAUGGUUGAGCAUGGGAUCUUCCCUUCGACCACGGCGAUGUAUGAUGACUUGAGUGACUUUUGCCACCAUAUUGAGAGUGAGAGUGACUUCACCACUAGCCCCAUAUAUGAUGAGUUGCCACACUUUCCAUGUGAGGAGAGCCACAACCCCCACCACUUGUGUGAGAUGAGUGACUCCACCAUAUGUGACUUUGAGUGCACCUACUUUGAGGGAGUGAGUGAACCACCACAUAGAGAGAGUGAGAUAGUUGAUAGGUCUCGUGAGGCCAUUUGCAUUUCUAACAACUUGACCUCUACCUCUAUUGUGUCUUCUCAUUUGGUGCUAGGUCCCAUUUAUGAUGACGCGCCGAUCCUCGACGACUUCGUCCUCCCUUUGGACAAGACGAUGGCCAUGGUGGAAUAUGAUGCACCCCCACAUGGUUCCAUCAAGAUGAAGAUGACCAACAUUUGGUCUUUGCCACCUCACCUACACCCCUUGAGCGGAAUGACAAAGGUAACAAAUGUGACGGUGAUGCUCUAGUCCCACUAGUGGACAUUCUUGACAUUGAUUGCUUGCAUGAUGUUGAUCCACCUAUUGCCAUGCUUCAUGCUAGUAUGAUUUCCCCAUGCGAUGAUUUUUCCCAUUUAUGAUGAGUAUGAUGAUUCUAUUGUGGAGUCUAGUAGUUGUGAUGCCAUGUUACAUAGGAUUUCUUGUGACAAUUCUUUAGGUCACAUCAUGUUUGAUAAUCCGCUUGACUUGUCAUAUGCUAUGCAUGAGAUCAACCAUAUGUCUUAUUUGCAAUCUCUUCAUAGUGACUAUGCAUAUGCCAUUAAAAUAAACCCAAUUUGCACAUAUGGCAUAGAUGACAAGCCCAUGGUUAUUGGCAUUUGUUUUUCUUGUGAUGAUAUUUAUAUGCUCCCUUUGCAUCAUUUAUCUCAUAUGCCAUGCCAUGACCACCUAGCUUCGGAUAUGCAUUGUUUUGUUGUUGUCCAUUUUCUCCAUGUGAUGUUUCCAAUAUUGCUCAUGAGGAGACCCCCAUAGUUUCCUCAUGCAUUUUAGGAGAUUUUGAUCCAUCCCAUUCAUUGCAUGAUCCCGAUACUUGUGUGCACCAUAUGCUCCCCAUAAAUAAACAUGCUAUUGAUAUGCCAUAUACUUGCAUUCUCAAUUUGUGUCCCCAUCAUGUCAUACACAAUAACUAUUCUUUUAUGAUGGAUGACAUGUUCUUAUACCAUGCAUCAAAUUUCUUUGAGCGAUGCUUAUCUUGUGCUAACUCACACGUGCACAUACACAUCAUGAUGGAUGAUGUGUACAUUUACCAUGCGCACAAUUUCUUUGGUUUGUGUCUCUUUUGUGUAGGUACCCAUGAAUACUUGUCAACCUCGCAAUCCCACGAGUUAACAAAACGAGCUCUAGAGAGCAACAAUGAUUUGGGAUCCCAUUGAUUAUCUUUCCCACCGCUCUCUUCGCGCAUAGACGUCGCACAUUCAUUCUACAUGGCCCUCACUUGGCUAUGGGUUAUUGUUCAUUACAUAUCAUAUGCCCAUCUUGCCAUGUUCACUUUGCAUGAUAUGCUCAUUCCUAUGCCUUUGACAUGCAUUUGUGACCCAUGAUUUGCAUUACACAUGAUGAUUGAUUGUAGUACUUGUAUGUGUAUUUGCAAGCUUGGUGGAGAUAUUGCUUGUUCUUGCCAUGUUCCUUUUGUGCGCCAUUCCUAUAAUGAUACUUCCAUCUUGCUUUGUGUUCGUGCUUGCGAUAUGUCAUGUGCACUCCCUAUGCCUAUUAUUUGCUCACAUGACAUGAUUGCCAUGAUUUAUUCUAGUGUGUUGCAUCUUCGCUCCACUAGUUUGCACGACUUGAUUACUAUGCUUGCUUAUGUUGCAUCACCAAUGACUCAUACUUGCUCAUUUCAUGCGGUUGAUGACAACCAUCUACACGCUUUGCACAUGAUUGUUAUUGCUUCUUGUCACAUAUUUGUUGCCUCUCUCAUGCUAGAUUUGCCAUGUAUUGAGUGCAACCAUGCUAUUAGUCUUGCUCAUGAGUUUGCCCCCAUAGCAUUCUCACAUAUGUUUGGAGAUUUUGACAUAAUUCUUGUGAAGCAUGCUUGUCUUACUUCUUUGCACCAUAUACCUAGUGCCAUGAAUAUUGCCAUUGUUGCAUCAUAUUAUUCAUGCACUUGUGCUUCUAAUGGUUAUGUGCAAACAAUGAGAACCAUCAUGAUGGAUGAUGUGUUUAUCUACCAUGCGCAUACGUUCUUUGUUUUGUUUUGUGCAUGUGUAGGAUACUUGGACUUUGUGUCGACUUCCACUUCACGUGAGUUGACCAUUCGAGCUCUUGAGAGUGAGCCUCUUACAUUCUACCACGACUCGCUUCUACACCACAUUUCCUACCACUUAGGCAUUAUUAAGAAUGCACAAGGACACAAUUUCAAGGUGACAUCCUUCUUGAGCUUGGAUAUUGUGGAUCAUACUUCAUGUGUUGCUUGCACCAUUUGCACGCAUGUUCGAGAUAUUGCUUUCACCCAUGAUUGCCACAUUUCCAUGCUUCAUGAUAUAUAUACCUUGUGUGUUGCAUCCAAUUCUUGGACUACUUGCUACUAUCAUAUGGUUGGUUGCACCAAUAUCAUUUCUUCACAUAUGCCAUGUCCCUUUACUUGUCAUGUGAUUCACUUGAUUGCCUCACACAUGAUGAACAAUUGCUCUUUCUAUUGUGUUGAGUGCCACAAUAUAUUCACUACACCCUAUGUGCAUUAUGCUUGGAUUGUCUUGCACUUGACCCAUGUGUUUAGACAUCUCAUCUUAUUUGGUGUUGUGAAUGAUUCUUAUGCCUACCAUCGACCAUUUGUCGAGCAGUUUAUGCAUGCUUGCUAUGACCUUGAGGUAGAUGCUUAUGCUCUUGUCACACAUAUUUGCAUCUCUACCUCACAUUUACAUGCUUUACCCCAUGAUAUCUUUGCUUGUGCUCAAUUUAUGUGCUUACAUGCCAUGUCACAACCCUUUGUCAAACCAUAUGCUAUGCUUGAUGACAACACUUGUUUGGUGAAUCACCUCUUGAAUGCUUGGUUUUGCACUAAUGCUAACCACAUUUGUUUUUCCAAGUGUUUGUUGUAUUUGCUCAUUUUGAAGGAAUCACAAGAUGGUGGGACAUUGGAGAGUGCCCAUUUCGAGUUACUAGAUGAUGAGUGUUUGGUGAUCGACCGCUUCGACACGGCAAUGCCAUCUCUUUCCCAUGGUGAUUUGGUUUUCGAUCCGAGGUCGGAUCUUUUCCAAGGGGGAGGGGAUGAUGCGGAGCAUCCUACGGUCAUCACCAUGUCAAGAGUCCGUUUGGCAAGUGACACGUGCAACCUCUACUUCACAUACACAAAGGUGAAUCUUCUCCUUUACACGUGCUCACUUGACCCCUUCGAGGAUGGUAUACUACUUGACACUUCUCCCGUGUGCAUGCAUAGGUAUUGUCGGAGCUUCACGGAUGUCGAGGAGGAGUGCAAGCGCCAAGGAACAACUACACCAUCCGCGAGGGAAGCAUGGAAGAGAAGACAGAAGAAACUGAGCUGCUACAUGCUACAGCCACCGGACGACCGGUCGGGACCGGACGUCCGACGCCUGGAAGCCGCACCAGCCAGAAGGCCCAGCCAACGCCAGCUACAGCACCUCCCAGCAAGCGAACGUCUGGCCCCCAGUGGACGACCGGUAAUAUUAACGGAAGUCCGAAGAUACCAGACGACUGGUGUCCCUUCAUAGAACAGUUUCAGUGGAUGUCCGACGACUAGCGGACGACCGGUCCCUCCUGAGCCACCGGACGACCGGUACCUGCCUGUGCGCAGCUUGCUGGCCUUUGGCCUUGUAUACCUCUCCCACUUACCCCUUCGUGGCUUAGACUAUAAAUAGACCACCUCCACCUCCUUUCUAGGGUUAGCAAAUAGGAUAGCUCAUUCUUAGGUGAGCUUUGCUCCUACCUCUACUCUUGAGAGAGAGAGAGAGACUACCACUCCCAUGGAGUUCAAGACCUCCAUGUGAGAAGAUCCUGCGGGAUAUCAUCAAGACCCCCUUGUGGGAAGAUCCAUCUAGGAUAUCAUGAAGACCUCCUCUUGGAGAUGAACCUUACCUUGUAUCUUUCCCUUUGUUGUUCGUGUACCUUGUGAUCUUGUGUGUUUGAUUGUCUAGUGGAUGUGUGAUUUGGGCUUGUUCUUGAG